rnacentral:sRNA from 1 species
AGAAACAAAAAUGUAGAAGUGGGAAAGAACCUUCCUCAAGAAGGGCUCUUAGCUUGGUUAGGUGCUUGGAGAUAAUCAAGAAGGGCUCUUAGCUUGGUUAGGUGCUUGGAGAUAAUCAAUGGAAACCAACAGUCCUCAGUCUCAACACAAAUCACAAGGCCAGCGAACUCAUCAUCCCCCAGUGCCAUCAGCAUUUGCCCUAAUCUCGUAAAUCUGGAAUAAAGCCCUAUUAAUUAAAAAGCACUUUGGAGCCAUUGGCGUGCUUCUCCUGUAGAAAACCAAGGAGAUCCAGUCCAGAGCCUCACAGUAAGGAGCAGACAGACAGUUGCCACUGAAUCCCAUUCAGCCUGUUUCUCGGCCACCUAACAUAGGCACUGUGGGAUAUAAAAUCGGUGAGUGCGUGUUUACGAUCUAAGGAAGCUCACAAGCUUUAGAGGCCCUACCAAUCCAGGCGAGAUCUGCUGAUGCAAAGAUAGGAAUUCAUCCUCGUGAGGAAUCCAAGAAGGCGAUUUACAAAAGCAAACCACGAGAGUCAUCCAACCAGACCUUAACUGAUGAGACAGCCACUUCAGAUCUGACCUUCCUCUUUUCUGCUCCCAGAACACCGGACAGCAGGUAAAGGACCAGGUUGAAGUCACCGACUCCAUCACAAACACAGAAGGACGGGGACAGCAUAUACGGAAGAUGGGGAAGAAAAGAAUAGUGCAAAUAUAUAUACAUCCACCAUGAAAGUUGUACACAGGGCAGGAAAAUGGCCUGAGGCUUCUGAGAUGGUGACCAAACAAAAAAACAACAGGAAGCAAGGCAGAGAGUGAUACAGCUGGAACACUGCCUUAAAGAACACUGUCUUACCAUACUGGUGGGCACGCAGGCAUAAACGUGCUAUGUGUACCGGUGUCACAAUCAAAGAGAAUCUUACGAUCCACCACACACACAAGCUGUAAAACUCACCCAUUCAUUUGUUGUGUUUUUUCUUCACUAAUUUUUACAUCGCCUUUUUUAUUAUGAUUUGUAAUAAUUGUUGCUUUCCAAAACUUACUUAUCUGCUGAAAGUUAACUAGGUAUUAUGAGAGUGAAGCUAAGUAUUUUUAGGAUGAAAACUCAGAUGUGUACAAUUUUCAAAUGGUCCUACAGAGCAGGGCAAGUGCAUGCAUAUGCAUGAAUAUUCAUGCAUGUGCAUGCGUGUGCAUGCGUGUGCAUUCGUGCAUGCGUGUGGGUCUCUAUGUGUGUAAGGAUAGUAAGAGAGGUAAGGAAAUAUGGUAACAUUUUAACACGUGCUCUAUCUCGAUAGUGUAUGUGAAUAUCCAUCACUCUUUCAAUUUUUCUACAUAUUUACAAAUAUUUACUAUAAACAAUUGUGAGGGCAAGUAGUAGAGGGCAGAUGGGAACCUCUAUCAUAGUAGCAAUAUGGUGAAAUCUUAUCCUUAUAUUAGAAUUAUAAUAUAAUUCUUUAUGAAGAUAUAAUUCUUUAUGAAAAAAAGCCUGGAAGAUGCAUGGCACAAGAUUGUUUGAAUUAGAAGACAGAGACAUAGGGAGACCCAAUAUAUUAUUACCAAAUUCAAACAGAUGGAGCAGGGUUUGGCCAGCAGGAAUGGCUGAGCAGGAACAGACAUAAAAAACACUGUGACUAGAUAUUUAAAAGCAGGGGAGAACCCUGGACUCCAUGAUGAAUUCUGAGUCUGGGUAGGACGAUUGAUAGAAGGGUAUAAAUAGAGGUCUAACAGGGCUAGGACGAUGUCUUUUCACUGCUUCGAUUAAUAACUGACUCGCGCCUAUAAAUAACAGUUCUCCCUGUCACUGGGCCGAUGUGGUAUAACCUUCCCUUUAGCUCCUGAAAGCCCAAAAAGACAGCAUACUAUACGUGUACCCUGAGAAUCCUGGGCCCCAGCCUGAGGGAGAACAGCCGUAAUCUGCCCAUAUGUUUCCCCAGAGAGCCACCUGCUUCAUGUCUCAGCUUCCUCCAGCCUGGAAGAUUUACAGAACUUAAUGGACUUUUUCAAAAUGUAGAAACUGCUUUAGCGGGAGCCUUAAGUGCUAAAAGAAAAACUAUUCAACCUUUCUCUCCCUUUCUAAACUGUGAAGCCCAUAAUAACAGAGCUCUUCUGUCGUGUUUUAGCACCCAGACCCCAGGUAUUCUUAAAUAAAUAACUGAAAAGAAUUAUAUAUAUUAUAUAUAUAUAUAUAUAUAUAUAUCACAUAUAUAUACCUUAUGUCAUCAAUGUAUACCUUACAGUCAAUUUGAUAACUUUUAUUCAGCAUUACAAAUUUCCAGCUAUGUGCACAUCUGUAGCCUAACCUGAAACCAAAGAAACUUCAUGAGCAACAUUCCUGAUGCAUCAUGGGUCUCAAGAGCUCCCUCAUUCAGCAGAAAGAGGCACUGCUAUGCAGAAAACUGUAUUUUGUAGGAAGUCCCACUCAGAUACCAUAACAAUAAUAAGCAAUGAGGUCUGGGGCUGCUGACAGGGAAAGAAGGCAAGUUGGGUGUUUUGUGAGGGGCAGCAGGCUGGUACAUGGCACACAGCGGCGAGAGAGGGAGGCGUUAACAGACAUCAAGACACUACCUGUUUCUGUUAGGUUACGCAGAGGACUGACGCUAAGACUCUAACAUGUGAUCAAGGCCACAACACUCCCAUGCUGUUGACAGCAGAGAGAGAUUCCUGCCAUAUGUUAGCGUGCUGGCUAGUUUCAUGUCAAGUUGACACAAGCUAGGGUCAUUUUAGGAAGGGGAACCUCACUUUUCUCAUGUGAGGUUCACUCUGCUUCUAGCCCAUCCUUUCUGCUUCCUGGUCUGAAGAAAUAUGAACAGGCUGAGCUGCGUGCAAGGUCCUGUCACCAGGAACUGGGGACCAGAGCAAGCUCUCCCAUCC